AUUGAACGCUGGCGGCAUGCUUUACACAUGCAAGUCGAACGGUAACAGGGAGCUUGCUCCGCUGACGAGUGGCGAACGGGUGAGUAAUGCGUCGGAACGUGCCGAGUAGUGGGGGAUAGCGCAGCGAAAGUUGUGCUAAUACCGCAUACGUACUGAGGUAGAAAGUGGGGGACCUUCGGGCCUCACGCUAUUCGAGCGGCCGACGUCUGAUUAGCUAGUAGGUGAGGUAAAGGCUCACCUAGGCGACGAUCAGUAGCGGGUCUGAGAGGAUGAACCGCCACACUGGGACUGAGACACGGCCCAGACUCCGACGGGAGGCAGCAGUGGGGAAUUUUGGACAAUGGGCGAGAGCCUGAUCCAGCCAUGCCGCGUGUCUGAAGAAGGCCUUCGGGUUGUAAAGGACUUUUGUCGGGGAGGAAAUCCCCAGCGCUAAUACCGCUGGGGGAUGACAGUACCUGAAGAAUAAGCACCGGCUAACUACGUGCCAGCCGCCGCCGUAAGAC
rnacentral:rRNA from 1 species